UACGUGGGGUGCAAGCGUUGUUCGGAAUUACUGGGCGUAAAGCGUGUGUAGGCGGCUCGUUAAGUCUGACGUGAAAUCCCUGGGCUUAACCCAGGAACUGCAUCGGAAACUAGCGAGCUUGAGUCCGGGAAGAGGGUAGUGGAAUUCCUGGUGUAGAGGUGAAAUUCGUAGAUAUCAGGAGGAACACCGGUGGCGAAGGCGGCUAACCUGGACCGGUACUGACGCUGAGACACGAAAGCGUGGGGAGCAAACAGGA
rnacentral:rRNA from 1 species